CCCAAGAGCCACUCGGCUGGCGGGUGUAGGGUUACAUCAGCCCGGGCCUCGGCCCCACAUGUUUUAACAAUUUCCUCCGUCCUCUGUGAAAUUAUGCAAAUAUUUUAGUCCAGUUUCCUCGAGUCUGGAACACCAAUUAAGAGUGUCUGUUUGGUUUUCAUGACAGCUGCUGAGGUGGCUCGCAGACAGACAGGCCUCGCGCUGGGGGUGAAGGGCUCCCAACCAAGGACCCAGAUGGAAGACAGGCAGAUACACGGGAGACUGCAGCGCACAUGGGGAAGUGCUACUGAUGAGUAUGUUUUAAAGGAAACCUGUGGGUGGCUUUCAGCACAAUGACAGAACGGAGGCUUAUCAAACUGCCAUGAUGAUGUUCCAAUGCUGCUCCUCCAGCAGCAGAGCCUAACUUUUGGUCAUGUCCGGCACAGAAAAAAAACUUGAUCUGAGGUCUGAAAGGCUUCGACGUCCACCACUGGCUCCAGAGACUCUCCGUGGUGCUGGAGAAUUUGAUCCAGGGGAUUGUGCUGUCUGGAUAAAAGUUCACAGCGCUCUGUAAAGGGGAAUGGAUUGAGGUCACGGCACUAAAGCAUCUCUCUCAGUUCAAAGGUGGACACGAACACGGGUCUCGAGGAGAGAUUCAUCUUGGUCAGGAGAAAACCUCUUGAAAGUAAUGCAUGUAAUUGCACUAUGGAGCAUGACAGACCAUAUCAUCAUUAAAUGGUAUAGGCUAUUGUUAAAGGAAAUAAGAGGGAGAGGUCAGAUUUGAUGUGAGCCGCCUUAUUGUGACAUUUGAGACGAGGCCUUCGCUGAUGCUGGUGAUAGAUGUAGGUUUCGCUUUGAUGAGCUUAUCCAUCACUAUAAAUAAAACCAUGGAGUAUGUGUCAUUAAAGGGUGACAAGUAUUUUAUGUGUUUAUAUAUAUAUGUUUAUACAUCUGAUAUAUUCCUUUACAAAAUGUUAAAAAGACAAAAGAGCCCAAUGUUUGUGGAGCGAAAUACAAUUCAAAAUGUUUGGUGUGCAAAUUUAUGUUCAUCUGUUUAAACUGUGGUUUUGCAUUAAAUUAAGGGGGGAAAUACAAGGUAAGCCAUCAAACCUAUUAAAGGUUCAGUGUGUAGAAUUUAGUGACAUCUAGUGGUGUAGUUGCAUGCUGCAGCUGAAUACCCCUCACCUCCCC